rnacentral:rRNA from 1 species
AUUGAACGCUGGCGGCAGGCCUAACACAUGCAAGUCGAACGAGUGGAGGACGGGUGAGUCAUGUCUGGGAAACUGCCUGAUGGAGGGGGAUAACUACUGGAAACGGUAGCUAAUACCGCUUACCAUCGGAUUUGCACUGAUGGGAUUAGCGAGUAGGUGGGGUAAAGGCUAACCUAGGACAAGAUCCCCAGUUGGUCUGAGAGGGUGACCAGUCACACUGGAACUGAGACACGGUCCAGACUCCUACGGGAGGCAGCAGUGGGGAAUAUUUCACAAUGGGCGCAAGCCUGAUGCAGCCAUGCCGCGUGUAUGAAGAAGGCCUUCGGAUUGUAAAGUACUGUCAGCGGGGAGGCGUUACCCGCUGAAAAAGCACCGGCUAACUCCGUGCCAGCAGCCGCGGUAAUAC